GACUGGCUCCUAAGGAAACACCACCCUGAGCGAGUGUCCCCUGCUUCCUGACUUUCCUGGGCCUCUUCCCCAGGGCAAACCACACGCCGGCCCGCAGCCCAGGGCGCCGGGUACACCGCACAGCCCCAAGGCCCCACCAAGCGCCACUUCCUCCCCGAAACCUCCGGUCUCUGCAGCAGCCCCCGCACCUGGUGCUUGAGCAUCUGAGGGCAACUCACAGGUGGAGUGAACGUCUACAUUAUGCUGAACUUCCAGAACCAGCUAGAGAUACAACAGCGACAGAGUCCUUCCUUCUGGUGAAGUGGACAGAUGAGCAGGCAGGCAACCUCUAUGGAGAGACAGACGCAGCUGAGAGAGUGAGUUCAGGGCACUAAGGGACCACCCGAGGGGAUGCUUGUCCUGGUCCCGAGUAGUCAGGGAGGUUUCCCAGAGAUGAAUGGUGAGGAUGUGGAAGAAAACUUUCCUCUGCCUUUCUAGGUUCUUCUGGCUGGUCUAAGAAUUAAAUUGACAUGAGACAGAUUAACAGGAGAAAAUCACAUUUAGUUUCAUAUAUACAGGAACCCCGCAUACAGGAGAAGGUCAGAGACCCACACAUACAUGAGAGGGUCAGAGACAGAAAGGUAAGAUGAGGUCUGUACGCCAUCCUGAGCUGAGGAAUGCCAUCAGGACCUGGGGUUUCCAAGAACGGGAGGGUCAUUCAUGUGGGGAUAAGAAGAAGAGCAGAUGUUAGGUAAUUAGAUGCGCUUUCCCUGACAUACAGAUAGGGCCACUUUGGUGAAAGGUAACUCUGGUAACAACUCUUUUUCUGGGAAAAAUCCACAAUUGAAAUUCUUCUAGGUAGUUAGGGAAGGGGCAGUAAUUUCUCUAGAACCCGCCGGGUAUCGAUUGCCUUUAGCUCAAAAUAAUCCUCAUGCAAAAGUGACACAUUUUGGGGCGGGGCGUUCAUUAUGAACCCCUACGAAAUGCACCCAUGUACUAGCAACUACAUAAAAAGCCCAGAAGAGUCUGUGCACCCCAGCAGCCCCAUCCAGUCACUGCCUCCCAAGGUUACUAUGUUAGUGAUGAUACUAGAUUAUUUUUGCCUGGUUUUGAACUUGAUAUAAAUGGAAUCACACGGAACGUGUUCUUCCAGCUCUGGCUUCUUUUGCUCAACAGUAUUUUGGUGCAACUCAUCCACACUGUUAAUAGCUGUAGUUCAUUCACUCCCGUUGCUGUCUUUAUU
rnacentral:lncRNA from 1 species